CUCAAAAUCAAAUUUCACAAAUCAAAAUUAAGUCUUUUUGACCUCAAACUUACUUUGGGAUGUUACAGACAGCCCCUGAGGCAUCUGAAAAAGAGAUAGUAAACAUAUUUAUUUGAUAUGUUAAGUUAUAUGGGAAGCAUUGUCCAAAAAGUAAUAAUGUUGACUCUUCUUUGCAUUAUAUUUGCAUAAAUGUGUUCCAAAAUUGUAUGAGAUUCUUAAAAAUCUGAUAUAUUAAAUUGUAGGCCACAGAAAAUAACUAAAGGAGUUUGUCAAUUGCAUCUCUAACCAUGGCCAUUUUAAGCCUUUUGUCUGCAGUAAAUUGCUUUCUUCUGAUGCUUUUUUUCCUAAAAACUUUUUGCAAAUGCUAAAGUAUUGUGUCUUCAAGGAAGUUUAUGGAAAAGACUACAAAAAGUACCCUGAAAUACAGGUUUCUGACAACUUUAAGAUCAUACAAUUGGACUAGGUAAGAAUUUUGAAAACUCCAAUUAGAAAACAGGACUCAUAAAAUUACCAACCUAGCAUCAAGCACAGUAAGAAUUAAAUAUGUGGGACUGAACUGAUGAAUAAUUGAAAUGAUUUUUAUAUUUUUUUGUUUAAACUGUUGCUCAUUUUUUAAUGUUUUCUUUUCUAGAGUUAAGAAAACUUUUUUAUUUUAUGCAAUUUGUAGCUUACAGGAAUUGGAUGAAUCAUACUUUUAAAUUCCCCUUAAAGAUCUGUUUGCAUAAAUCAUAUAUAGAUGCCUAGCUUUGUGUUUUCAUCUGCAAUGCCACCUCCUGGAAUGGGACUCAACUGUUUAACUCUUGGAAUGAGACUCAACUAUUUAACUGACCUGACAGAUUCUCAUAUUCUCAAGACUGAGUUUGAUUCAAGAAGAUUUGGCUGCUGGUCCUAAUCCAUGCUUUUGUUUUUCUUCGCCAAUCUCUUAUCUCACAAUCUCUAAGCCAAUUCUCUCUAUAGCCACCAAUCCCAACUUAAUAUAUGAAACUUUCUGAAAAUAAACUUUCAGCUGGGAGACUAAAAAAAAACAAAAAUAUUUCACCCUAAAAUAUACUUCUUUGAAAUAUUUUGAGUUAGCUAUUCAGAGAGCCUGCAGACAGGAAUAGCCUUGAAAAGCUGCCUUUUAUGGAAAAUAUUUGCAUUUGUUGAGAAAAAUCUACUUCAGUGAAAUAAACUACCAAGUUUCUCUCAGGCCUGCCCCUUUAUCGAGAUCUAGGAAAGAUGAACUCCACCACAGGCUUCCAUCUAUUCUUUCUGAGGUCUGCUACCUGUGAGGCUUCAUCUGCAUAACAAGACUAUCUUUGCUGGCCUUACCUUUGUUUCUCCUUCUCUCCCAUAACCUGUUUUGCCAUGGUUCAGGCCCUUAUUUUUACUGUAACCUCAAGAUGAUAUAAAAGGAUAAACCAUCUGGCCUUUUCUUUGAAUUUUCAUAUUUUGUAUGACUUCCAUGCACACGUGUGCACUUUAAAAAUCUGUAGCUCUUUUCUUCUCUUUCCUCUUUUUUUUUUUUUUUUUUUUUUUGGUGGGAUCUUGCUCUGUCACCCAGGCUGGAGUGCAGCGACACAAUCAUGCCUCGCUGCAGCCUCAAUCUCCUGGUCUCAAGCCAUCUUCCCACCUCAGCCUCCAGAGUCACUGGGACUACAGACCUGAGCCACCACACUGGGCUAGUUUUUUCUGUUGUUUGUAAAGAUGAGGGUCUCUCUAUGUUACCCAGGCUGUUCUUGAAUUUCUUGGCUCACAUGACCCUCUCUUGCCUUGGCUUCCCAAAGCACUGGGGUUAUAGUUGUCAGCCACCACACCUGGCCCCUUUUCUCCUUUUAAUCUGCUCUUUGUCAAUUGAUUUUCAGCAAACUUUCAGAAGGCAAAGGGAAAGUUUUACCUUGACCCCUUCCCUGCUUUGAUGAUUACUGCUUGCCCCUGAUGUUUACUGAAAAAGAAAGAGCAGGGCUGUGGUAAAUUUGGGAUGUGACUUAAAUUGUUUUAUGGGUAGAGGCAACUUUGUCUUUCUUGGAAAUCAAUAACUCCUUGUCUUGAUUUUACAAUUCUGUUCUGUGGACCCUGAUCUGGUUUCCUGCUUCAUCUUGUGACCAAGGGACACACAAACCACUGCUUGAUCAAGUAAGGGAAAAGAGGGAGUUACUAGAGUUUAGUUACUCUAGGUGCACGAGAUACAGCUCACCAGUGAAAUCAUCCUGACCAACAGGAUGGUUUCUCCAACAGGAAAUAUCACUACCUCAGAAGUAUUCAGAUCAUGUUUUGUAUUUUGUUUUCCUAUUGUUUUACUUUUCAUUUAUCCAUUUAUGUUUGCUUUUUAUAUUUUGGAAAUUUCAUAAUGGUUUUGGUUUUCUAAUGACAUUCUAUAUAGCUUCUCCAUACUUAUGGAUUUAUUCAUUGAAUAAAUUAAUUGUUAUAUAUUUUCAUUGGCUUUUAGAAGGGAAAGUGAAUAGGCACAUAUUCUUAGUUUUUCAUUGUGGUGCAAUCUCCCUGCUACUGAUGAUAAUUUUAUGGGAAAACUUGACACUCUGUCAAUGAUGAAGGAAUUCCAAGGCACAUUAUUUCCCCACAAGUGCAAGUCCCUGAAGCACAGUAUGAGAAACAGUGAUCAAUUGUUGUGAUUUCAUUCUCAUCCUGCAACAUUUUAAAUGUGUUCUGGCUUCCCAUAUGUCUCUACCUAUAGAAAGAAUGUAAAUGAUGCUCUUUGAGUGUUCUACUCUGUAUGGUGGCAAUUUCUUAUUGUAAAUUAUAAAGUACUCA
rnacentral:lncRNA from 1 species